CUGCCAUAUACAGUGCGUUUCUGCAGCAGCUGUCCCAUCUCACUGUAAGCCUGCCAUGUCUUAGAUCACACCUGUGUCAUCACACAACCCAUCAGGAAGCAGUUAACAUGGCUGCACAGCUCUUUGAUUGCACUGUUCCACUGAAGGUGUUUUCUUUUCAAGAUAAUACUGAUUAUGGGAGGAUCCCAAGGGUAAGUGAAGCUCCCUUUCAACGAGUGACUCAUUUCCGCAGCCUGCUGUGUUUCAAUCAAGCAACAGCCAUUUUCGAGAAAAAAAUUCCAGGGUGGGUCUUCAUCUGACCUUUGACCUUUACAGCAAAAUUUUUAAGGUUAAAAGCCAGGCUCUUCAGGUUUUACAGAACAAUAAAACAUUUCUAGACCAGUGGCAGUUCAGGAGGAGAGCUCUAAAAUAGCAGCCAGUUAUCAUUUGACUUCAGAUUGGGCAGGAAAUGGUGAGUUUUGCUAUUGCUGUUCCAGCGUUGGUGCUAUCACAGAGUCAGCACAAUGUCCAGAGUCCCUUAUUCCAGGAAACAGGCCUGCAAGCAUGUGUCUAUUGGUGAUGUGUGGAUAACCAUCGUUGUUCCACUCAUAACUAGAAGAGAACCUCUCAUUAUAUUGCAAGUUGAGGUUAAAUUGGUAUAUUAGUUGCAUGUCCUGCAAUAGCCUUGCAACAUUUUGCCUUUUGGUAAUGGAAAUUGUUAUAAACUCAUAUUGUUUGUUAAAUCGUUUGCUCAGUGCUGACGAUUUUUCCAGCUGCCCUGACAUUCCACAUAGCUUUCAGCUCCAUAAUGCUCUCAGUACCAAACAGGCAAAACAGGAAGCUGGACAUGAGUAACACCACUUCCUUCAAAGUUUUCAAUACUUUUUAACUGUUUGCUUCCCAAAUUCAACCUUAGACAAGAGUGAAAUCUGAAAAUGUAGAACACAAUGUUGCAUGGAAGCUUUAUCUUAUGUAAAAUGCUGUAAAAUUUAAAUCAAGACAUGAAGCUUGAAACUCCUCAGUCCAUUUCCAUUGCAGAGACAAACUGAUGUCAUGCCUGCAGUCGAGUGUCUCCUUUCUGCUGACAUUUAGGAAGCUUUAAAAACACAGAUAAGGGUUUUACUGCCUAAUGACAGUAUGCUAGAGUUUUCACGUUGCACUGUGGACCUUGUUUCUUGUAUCAUGCUGAACCAUCUGGAGUCGACCUGUCUAUCUGGGAAGCCAUGAGCAGGGUGCCAUCAUGUAUGGAGGGGGUAGGAAGUCAAUACAACGUGCACCAACCCCCCAGGAAAGCUCCAUGUCUGCUUGCCAGUUGCACAUCCUCUGGGCCUUUUCAGUCAACUCCACAGGAAGAAGUAGAUGACUUGUGCAAUGUCAGUAAUGACUUUCUCUCCGCUUGUGUCUCAUCUGCCAUAUGCUGUUUUGCAUGUAUAUAUGUGUGUAGUAUUGAUUAAGAUCCUCAAAAUCUUUGGUUGGGUUCUCCUGUUAUUCCUGUUCAAAAUUUUAAUUAUGCCAAAUAUAUCUGACUGAAUUUCAAAGAAAACAACUAUGGAACUGUAGACUUUGUAAGUACUUGAAAUUUAAAGUUCAUCACUCACCUUGGAAAUAGCACUUUACAAUGAUUUGCACCACCAGAUCCUCAACAGAUGGAAUUUUAUCAUAGAAAUAUUUUUCUUACAUCUGAUCUAUGUUGCAUUAUGCGAUACAACUGAAAACUCCUCCUAUCAUGGGUGUUGGUGCCAUAAUUUCAAAAAAGUAAGUUAUCACACAUAACUAAUCCAUCCAUCCAUCUAUUAUCUAUACACUGCUUUAGCCUCUAUAGGGUUGCAGUAGGGGGCUGGAGUCUAUGCCAGCUGACUUGAGGGGAAGGCAGGGUCCACCUUGGACAGGUCUAUUGCAGGGCUACACAGCAAGACAGACAACCAAGCACUCUUACUUUCACACAUACAGACAAUUUAGAAUCAUCAAUUAACCUCAGCAUGUCUGAAAACUUGCCCAAAGAGCACCUCACACAAACAUGCCUUGGCAAGAGCAAGGCUCAGCUGCAUGUUUAACAGCUGGCUCUGUCAGGUGGCUUUACUGCCUCAAAAAAAAAAAGAAAAGAAAAAGCAGUGAGUGUAACUGAUUAGUAUUUGUAAUGUGAUUCCUGAAUGAAGAAACUUACAAUACAAACAAAUGUAUGCAAUUAUAGUAAUGUGUUAGAUUGUGGUGUGCUGCCCCAACAGACUGUGUAUGUGAAGUCAUUAACGUGUUUAAAAAAUAGAAACUUGAACAUCUACAUUUCCAAGACAACUGGGCCAAUUUUCAAUAUGGUAUGACAAGAAGCUGCAGAUUGGCUGUUGUGGUGCUGAGAUUGUUUUUACAAACUACCUGAAGGAUAAUAAAGGUGAUUAUUAGGGUUAAAAUGUGUGACAUUCCUAUUCAGUGAAGACGAACUAAGCUACUGUAUGCUGCUGUGUUGUACAAAGGCAGUAGGCAGAAAUCUCAUGCUGAAAAUGGUUUCCAUUUGAUGGAUUUUCAGCUUGAGUUUUAUCUCUGUCAAGCUGCUCUGCUUUCUGUGUAGCUGGCACACAGCAGUGCCAUGCUCACCUUGCUCCUGGGCCUGCUCAGCUUGGUAUCUACACAGUCCAACAAUUGUGUAGCCCAGGGACGCUUUCAGCCUACAUCUAGAGUUUGCCUGCGAUCUUCCUCCGUUACAUCUGGCGGAGGAGCUGACUUUGGCUGCCGGAGUUGAGGUGCUUUAUCUCGCUGCCCAGUCCAACUGCUGUCUGAGUCCCUCCCUCCUGCAGGCAGCCCUGAAGCACUGGCAGCAGAUAAGAGAAGGGCCCACAGCAGCUCCGGUUUGAAAAGGAAAGGCUGUGAAGACACCAACUAUGUGGAAAUAUCAUUGCAUUCAUUCCUCACGGAGACAACCUUCAAAAGAACUUACUUUGAAAUAUGUCUUAGUAUAGCAAGUUAUCCAGGGACUCAGUAAAGAAGACAAAUAUGUAUGUAGGAGAAACUAGAAGUAUUUUCUUUGUAGUUUCACCCUGUAGUCAAUGAAAUCUUAGAGAGACAUACUGUACUUUUGAUUUCACUACAAUUGUCUGAAAACUAUAAUUUCUAGUAAGGGAGAUUCAACAUAUGAUCAGUUCUAAAUGCAAUGUAAAAGCUUACAAUAUACUAUUAGGUACGAAAGUAGUAUUUAAAAUAAAUAUUUAGUGUUUUAAAAUAAAUUUUAAAUUAAUAACAAAUCCUGACAGGGUGAAAGAGGUGAUUGUGCAUUAUCAAGGUUCUUUAAUUUUUCAUGUUUAAGAUAGUAUUUUGUGCUCACAGGUUAGGAUCUUAUGCAAAAAAAGUAUUAUACAAUAAUUUUUUGGGAUCUAAGGGAGGGUUCUGUUAGUCUGAAAAGAUCUAACCAUCCAACUUAAGGCAGCUGUGUAUGAAAAGCAUUUAAACAACAAUAACACAUUUGGAAGUAAAAUUAAACUAAGUAGGUAUUAUGACUAAGACAUUUAAUGAAAUAAGGAGAAAACAUUUAUCUCUCUAUUGUACUUGGAAAGAAGCAUAAAGUAGCAAUAAUAAGAAAUAUCUUACCGUAUGCACACAUACUGCAUCUACUAUGUAUAUAUAUUACUUAUGCAUCAUGUAUAUUACAAUAUUUUUGCAUUUUUGCAUUCUUACAUGAACUGUUUAGACUGUUAUUACUUCUUAACCUUUAUAUGUCUUUGGAUAGUCAUACUGCAAUUAAAUUUAUUCUGCUUAGACAUUUUACAUUGUAGUGCACUUAAACUGCUUGUUUUGCACUUCUGGUGAGAUGGUAAAUUGCAUUUCAUUACCUUACUAGCUGUAGUCUGUGCAGUGACAAUAAAACUGAAUCUAAUCUAAUCUUCAGAUGCAAGAUCUCUCAGAUGCAUUUAUACAGUUGGCUACUUUAGUUGAAUGCACCACUGUUCACCAGAAUGAGAUGUUUUUCACAACUUUUUAUAACACUUUUGGAUUGAUGUCUUAUAACUUACCUGUGCAACACUAGCAAAUGCUUUAUUAACUCUUAAGUCACUGAUCACAACUAAUGGUUCCAAAACCCCUACAGAAGUCACGAUACAACACAUUUUAAACACUCUCUUUUCAUACAUGGUCAAAUGAGACUGCUGUCGCCUAAUUAUCAGAGCAAACAAACAAAUCCUGAGCACUGUUCCCUCUAAGAUGCGCGCGUGCGCAAUUGCGCACUGCUGACACUCCACGCACAGAAAAUCUGCGCUGCGCACAAAAAAAAUCCAACCUAAAUUGUAAAUAAAAUAAACACGUAACAAUUCAUUCUGUGCUAUUUUUCAAUGUGAGUCAGUCAGUGACCGGUGGCUGGCUGCUGCAGCCAAUGAUGCGAUUCACAUACGUAUUUACCAUAGACUGUAUAUAAUGGUAUUUACACAGCUAAUCAACGUCAGGCGUCCUUAUGUGUAGCCACCGUUGUUCUCAUAGAUAUGAAUGAGUAGAUAGGACACGCCCCUUUGAGCUGCGGCUACAGCGAGGCUAAGCUAGUGGGGACAAAGUUUCAGUGCAUUCAGUUGAUGUAGACGGCGUGAAAACGGAAACAAGUAUGCCGUCUCACUGUGCUGCAUACAGUUACACACUACGUCGUACGAUUGAGACAAGGAAACUUGGAAUGACUUUUCAUAGGUUUCCCAGAGACUAUGGGUUGAGGAGGAAGUGGAAGUUUGUCGGCUUAGACCUGGUUUCAUUCCAUCAGUGUUUAACUUCCUGGCUCAUCUUUGAAGAGUACGUGCCAGAAAGACCACAACCAAGCAGCCUUGAGAUCUUAGGCAAUGUCUCCCUCAGGUCCCUCUCUAUCUCCCCACACAUCCACCAACCACUGGAACACAUCUCCAAAGUUCUGCCGGGCCAGCUCAGCUUCCCCUCAGAAGAAGUUCCGCUAGAUGAAGGAGCCUUUUGAGAGGCAGCUGGCAUCGUGAUUGGACUGUACUUUGGUCUGUUCCAAUCCAGCUUCAGCUCCAGAGACGGCAGGCGGGACGAGUCAACGGAGGCCUGGUGGACGAAGGCAUGCAGCUGAGUACAAUCCAGAAAACAACAGAGGAGGAGUGCAGUGGCCCAGGGCCAGAACAAACAGAGUAGCAUCGUUUGUCUCUGAGAAAACAUCAUAGUAUAGCCUUUGGUAUGAAAAAACGCCAUCAUAUACAUCGUAUAUUGUACAAAUAACAAGUCAAAGGAAAGAGACAUCAACUGUAGAAUUGUAGUAAUUGUGGGCUGACUGAUUUACUGAUUAUCAGUAUUUUAUUUUUUACUGAUUUAUGGUAAUAAAUACAUUUAAAAAUGGUGCUA